CCUACGGGCGGCAGCAGUGGGGAAUUUUUGGCAAUGGGCGCAAGCCUGACCCAGCAACGCCGCGUGAAGGAAGAAGGCUUUCGGGUUGUAAACUUCUUUUCUGAGGGACGAAGAAAGUGACGGUACCUCAGGAAUAAGCCACGGCUAACUACGUGCCAGCAGCCGCGGUAAUACGUAGGUGGCAAGCGUUAUUCGGAUUUAUUGGGGGGAAAGGGCGUGUAGGCGGGAAAGCAAGUCAGAUGUGAAAACUCAGGGCUCAACCCUGAGCCUGCAUUUGAAACUGUUUUUCUUGAGUGCUGGAGAGGCAAUCGGAAUUCCGGGUGUAGCAGUGAAAUGCGUAGAUAUACGGAGGAACACCAGUGGCGAAGGCGGAUUGCUGGACAGUAACUGACGCUGAGGCGCGAAAGCGUGGGGAGCAAACGGGAUUAGAUACCCCUGUAGUC
rnacentral:rRNA from 1 species